UACGUAGGGACCAAGCGUUGUCCGGAUUUAUUGGGCGUAAAGAGCUCGUAGGCGGCUAUUCGCGUCGGAUGUGAAAGCUCGGGGCUCAACCCUGAGAGGCCAUUCGAUACGGGAUAGCUAGAGGCAGGUAGGGGAAAGUGGAAUUCCUGGUGUAGCGGUGAAAUGCGCAGAUAUCAGGAGGAACACCGGUGGCGAAGGCGGCUUUCUGGGCCUUGCCUGACGCUGAGGAGCGAAAGCUGGGGGAGCGAACAGG
rnacentral:rRNA from 1 species